CUGCUGCAGUCCACCAUCUUGAAACAGCCUGUCCCUUAUUCAGCCAGCACAGACACUCCAACCUCCCUGAUAUUGCAUAGCAGGGAGAUGAGGUUUAGAGUUGUAUGACUUUCUUGACUUGGAAGAGGAACUGGAUUUGUUCCAUUUUAAAUGCUGCUUGUGGCAGUCUAUGGCAGGCAAAAUUUUGUCCUCUUUCUAGGUAUUAGGACGGGAUAAAUUCUCCAGCCUUCUUUGCAGUUAGGUUGGGGCUUGCGCUGGAGUUCUUGCCAAUGGAAUGUGCACAGAAAUGAUGUCCACUAGUGGUUCUCACGCUACAGUGUGUAUAAUGAGUCAUCCCAUCACUCAGGGAUCUUGUUGAAAUGCAGAUUCUGAUUCAGUAGGUUUUGGGUGAGGCCCAUGAUUCUGCACUUCAAUAAGCUCUUAGUUAAUACCAGUGCUGCUGGUUUUAUGGACAACACUUCAAGUAGUAAGAACGUACACCAAUUCCAACUUGGCCAUAAAAUAUCAUGUGCAGUCUUCCAAGAUUUCUCUGCUUUAUCUGUACAGCUACAAGUAAAGCACUUGGAAUGGUAGAGUGCUUCCCUCAAUGGAUGGAAGGAGACUGGAUCCCUCUGACACUGACUGGAAGAGCUCUGCUAAGCAAAGCUGCGAGCUCAUGAAAGACUGUGAGGAGAGUAAGAGAGCUCAAUCCAGCAGAUCCUGUCCCACUUGGAACCUGGCUAUGAGUGAGAAAACAUCUGUGGUUGGAAAAUGGGGCUGGUGAUUCAGGCCUGUUUGGGAAGAAGAUGCUCUUGAAUGCUUUGCUCAACAAACACCUCCCUUCUGCAAGGAGGUGAGAGGUCAUCUGUCUGUCUACUUUGACACUUUCACCCACUGAACUUCAGGGCUUAAGACACCUUCCCCAUAAAUUGGAGUGAGCGCGGCACAAACUGUCCCUGAAUUUGACCAUAACUGACUCACCAAAGGUCUGAGUAGGGGAGAAGGCAAAAACAGACAAACAGGCACUGAGGACUUUGCCAUCCCAGACCUGUGUCAUGUAAACAGGCUGUCUGCUUCACAGCCAAGGAAUGAGCCCUGGACGUGGGUCGGAACUGGAGCCUUAACAGCUAAUACCCAGAGCCUUUGACUGUGGACGACUGUGUUCAAAGGGGCAGGCUGCCCACUACUAGGGCAUGGAGGAGAGGCAGGAUGUGGGGAAAGAGUGUGGUUUUGGAAUCAGACACAACUGGUCCCCGCCACUUACUCAGCCUUGUGACCUCAGAUGAAAAAGUCUCUUAUUCUUACUAAGGCUCAGUUUCCCCAACUGUGAAACUGACAUAACACUAUGGACUUCAAAAGGCUUUACAAGCAAAACAAUUUAUAAAACAAUUUAUUCAACAAUUUAUUCAGGCACUUAGCACAGUGCUAGCACAUAGAUAUAAGUAACAGUUUUUUUUCUCUGUUCCUUCUACGUGGAGGAGAGGCAUCUGUUGUCUCUUCAAGUUAAUUAAUUUGAAAAUAUCCAGUAGCAACCAUUUCUUAAAUUCCUCUUACGAGCCAUUUAGUUUUGCAACAACUGCAAGAUAGACAGUAUUAUUCCCAUUUUACAGAUAUGGACAUUGAAGCUCAGGAGGUACACCGGAUAUAGUGACUUUGAUCUUCUCAUUGCCCUGACACUGAUGAGAGAGAGAUAACAAAAUCAAAAAGAACAGUUGGAGGAAUAAAUGUCAAAUAUAGGAGGCUGGAAGCAUAGUCUCUAACCUCAGUCUAGCCUCGGAUAAUAGCAUUUUCAUCUUGCUACAGCAGUAGCAGACACCAGCUGGGUGCCUUCUCCCUAUUUUAUUCAUUUGUAUGUUCAUUGAGCAAUUUAUCUAUUGCUAAUUCCUUAGCAAGCAUUUACUGUGACCUUCCUUUUAUUAUUACUAUUAUUAUUAUUCAUUUUAGAGACAGGGCUAUGCCAUUAUGUUGCCUACGCUGGAGGGCAGUGGUU
rnacentral:lncRNA from 10 species